rnacentral:sRNA from 1 species
GAUCAUUAUUGAAUGAACUUGGUGUGGUUGUCGCUGGCCCUCUUGGGGGCAUGUGCACACCUACCAUCCUCAUCUCUCCACCUGUGCACCUCUUGUAGAUUUGGAAUUGAUUAUCCGAGGCAACUCGGUCGUGAGGACUGCUAGCACUUAGCUGGCUUUCUUUGCAAUUCCAGGUCUAUGUUUUUCAUAUACCCCAUUGUAUGUAACAGAAUGUAUCAUUGGGCCCUUGUGCCUAUAAACCUUAUACAACUUUCAGCAACGGAUCUCUUGGCUCUCGCAUCGAUGAAGAACGCAGCGAAAUGCGAUAAGUAAUGUGAAUUGCAGAAUUCAGUGAAUCAUCGAAUCUUUGAACGCACCUUGCGCUCCUUGGUAUUCCGAGGAGCAUGCCUGUUUGAGUGUCAUUAAAUUCUCAACCAUUAUCAACUUUUGCUGGUAAURGCUUGGAUGUGGGGGUCUAUUUUGCUGGCUUCUCAGAUAGUCAGCUCCCCUUAAAUGCAUUAGCUGGUGCCCCGCGUGGACUGUCUAUUGGUGUGAUAAUUAUCAACGCUAUAGACAUCUGCAAUCAUAUGGGUUUGCGCUGCUUCUAACAGUCUGUUGAUUCAGACAAUACAUGACAAUUUGACCUCAAAUCAGGUAGGACUACCCGCUGAACUUAAGCAUAUCAAUAAGCGGAGGAAAAGAAACUAACAAGGAUUCCCCUAGUAACUGCGAGUGAAGCGGGAAAAGCUCAAAUUUAAA